CCCAACAUAUAAGCCAAGAGAGUGCCAGGCCUUUAAAUAAGAAACACUGAUGUUUUCUGCAACUUAAAUACAAGGUAUCAGAGCCAGGAAGGUGGCUGACUCUGAUGAUAGAACAAGAACCAAAUAUGCUCCUGCUGCUCCAGUAGAGUGGUCUUCAGGUGAUCGAGAUUCUGAGCUCCCAAACCAAGGCAAGAAUAACGAAACUGGAACAGGAGGGCAUGCUGGGCUCCAGCCUCCCAUGACAGUGAAACAUUGCCUUAGAAUGACUGUUGUUAAUACAACUGAGGAAACAGAACACGUAAUCUUGUGAUUAAGUUAUGCACAAUUUGAUUUAAAUUUAGUUUCUGGCAGUUGCUAGGUUUCACUCUGGUAUACUCUCUCGGUGUGGAAGCUGCUGAUUCAGAAAGAGAUGUGCCAAAGCUCAUGUAUUUCCUGGACACAUCUAAGUACUGAAUAAAAUGCUGGUUAAAUAAAUGAGUCAAUUUUCCAAGAAAGACA
rnacentral:antisense_RNA from 1 species